ACAGGAAAACACUCUGAGAGCUGAAACCUGAAACCCAGUGGCGGCGCCAACACCCCUGCUGGAGGUGGAUGGCUAGCCAGGAUUCAUUGUGGGCCCAGUCCCAGGCUCUGCUUAGGGUGGGGCCUGAAGCCCCUUUAGUGGAGUUCUCUGUUUGCUCGCUGCUGGCGGUGGAACCUAGGAUCUCAUGCAUGGGAGGCAAUGGCUCUACCUGUGAAAUACACCCCUGCACAGACUCCUUAGAAACGUUCCCACUGUCAAGGCGCCCUGUGCUUCCUUGCAGUUCCCGUGGUCUCCGUUAGAGCCACAUGAAAUCCUGGACGAUUACCCAGCAUAGUAUCUACUAAUGAGUCAAUGUAGAUACUCCUGGCCCAUCCUAUUGCACCCUAGUGGGUGUCACAAACCACCCCAGUUCUCUACGGCCCCCUCCACCUAUAAACUACUUCUUCCCAGUUA